rnacentral:rRNA from 1 species
GACAGAGGGGGCAAGCGUUGCUCGGAAUUACUGGGCGUAAAGGGCGCGUAGGCGGGAUGGCAAGUCGGUCGUGAAAUCCCUCGGCUCAACUGAGGAGCGUCGAUCGAAACUGCCGUUCUUGAGGGUUGCAGAGGAGACUGGAAUUCCCGGUGUAGCGGUGAAAUGUGUAGAGAUCGGGAGGAACACCGGUGGCGAAGGCGGGUCUCUGGACAGUUCCUGACACUGAGGCACGAAGGCCAGGGGAGCAAACGGG